rnacentral:tRNA from 1 species
AUUUAAAUAGCUUAAGAAGAGUUUAAUAUUGAAGAUAUUAAGGUGAUUAUAUAAUCUUUAAAUA